AACGAACGCUGGCGGCAGGCUUAACACAUGCAAGUCGAGCGCAUCCUUCGGGGUGAGCGGCAGACGGGUGAGUAACGCGUGGGAAUCUACCUUUUGCUACGGAAUAGCUCCGGGAAACUGGAAUUAAUACCGUAUGUGCCCUUAGGGGGAAAGAUUUAUCGGCAAGAGAUGAGCCCGCGUUGGAUUAGCUAGUUGGUGGGGUAAAGGCCUACCAAGGCGACGAUCCAUAGCUGGUCUGAGAGGAUGAUCAGCCACAUUGGGACUGAGACACGGCCCAAACUCCUACGGGAGGCAGCAGUGGGGAAUAUUGGACAAUGGGCGCAAGCCUGAUCCAGCCAUGCCGCGUGAGUGAUGAAGGCCUUAGGGUUGUAAAGCUCUUUCACCGGAGAAGAUAAUGACGGUAGCCGGAGAAGAAGCCCCGGCUAACUUCGUG
rnacentral:rRNA from 1 species